rnacentral:rRNA from 1 species
UACGUAGGGUGCAAGCGUUUGUCCGGAAUUAUUGGGCGUAAAGAGCUCGUAGGCGGUUUGUCGCGUCUGCUGUGAAAACCCGGGGCUUAACUUCGGGCUUGCGGUUGAUACGGGCGGGCUGGAGUUCGGUAGGGGAGACUGGAAUUCCUGGUGUAGCGGUGAAAUGCGCAGAUAUCAGGAGGAACACCGGUGGCGAAGGCGGGUCUCUGGGCCGAUACUGACGCUGAGGAGCGAAAGCGUGGGGAGCGAACAGGA